rfam:Deltaproteobacteria bacterium RIFOXYD12_FTLL_50_9 rifoxyd3_full_scaffold_8175, whole genome shotgun sequence.
CCCAGGGCGUUGCCCUGGGCUAAUAUGUUUUGCCCUUUCAGGGCG